rnacentral:rRNA from 1 species
UACAGAGGUCUCAAGCGUUGUUCGGAUUCAUUGGGCGUAAAGGGUGCGUAGGUGGCGCCAUAAGUCAGGUGUGAAAUCUCGGGGCUUAACUCCGAAACUGCAUUUGAUACUGUGGUGCUUGAGGACUGGAGAGGAGACUGGAAUUCACGGUGUAGCAGUGAAAUGCGUAGAUAUCGUGAGGAAGACCAGUGGCGAAGGCGGGUCUCUGGACAGUUCCUGACGCUGAGGCGCGAAGGCCAGGGGAGCAAACGGG